UACGUAGGGUGUGAGCGUUAAUCGGAAUUACUGGGCGUAAAGCGUGCGCAGGCGGUUCGUUAAGUUCGUUGUGAAAGCCCCGGGCUCAACCUGGGAAUGGCAAUGGAAACUGGCGAGCUUGAGUGUGGCAGAGGGGGGUGGAAUUCCGCGUGUAGCAGUGAAAUGCGUAGAGAUGCGGAGGAACACCGAUGGCGAAGGCAGCCCCCUGGGCCAACACUGACGCUCAGGCACGAAAGCGUGGGGAGCAAACAGG
rnacentral:rRNA from 1 species